GGUGAUCGAUCGUGAGAUCUCAGCCUCCUCGGGGGUUAGGACUGCAGCACGCGCCGGCAGCACGAGGCCCUUCAUCCCUUUUCACGGCCGGAUAGUACUCCCUUGCACUUGGGUCUUGCUCUGCUGUCUAGGCGGCCCUGAGCUCCAAUAGUCUUCCUGCUAUAGACGCCCGAGAAACUGGGAUUCCAGAAGUGGCCCACUGCACCUGGUGAUAGGAGUCCUUUUAAAAUGUUAUCUUUGGAAGAAAACAUAAAAGGCAAUGCUAUUUCUGUCUUAAAAUGAAUCCAGGAAUUGUAUAGAUUUGACUACAAAAUUCACCUCUUCAAAUAAACGUUUAAACCUUC